UACAGAGGUCUCAACCGUUGUUCGGAUUCAUUGGGCGUAAAGGGUGCGUAGGCGGUCUGUCGCGUCGGAUGUGAAAACCCAGGGCUCAACCCUGGGCCUGCAUUCGAUACGGGCAGACUAGAGUUCGGUAGGGGAGACUGGAAUUCCUGGUGUAGCGGUGAAAUGCGCAGAUAUCAGGAGGAACACCGGUGGCGAAGGCGGGUCUCUGGGCCGUAACUGACGCUGAGGAGCGAAAGCGUGGGGAGCGAACAGG
rnacentral:rRNA from 1 species